UACGGAGGGUGCGAGCGUUGUCCGGAAUCACUGGGCGUAAAGGGCGCGUAGGCGGCUGGGGAAGUCGGCGGUGAAAGCCCGGAGCUCAACUCCGGGUCGGCCGUCGAGACUCCUCGGCUCAAGCUCACUAGAGGCAGAUGGAAUUCCGGGUGUAGCGGUGGAAUGCGUAGAGAUCCGGAAGAACACCGGUGGCGAAGGCGGUCUGCUGGGGUGAGGCUGACGCUGAUGCGCGACAGCGUGGGGAGCAAACAGG
rnacentral:rRNA from 1 species